GGAGAGCUGGCCGAGUGGUCGAAGGCAUCCCCCUGCUAAGGGGACAGGCGGUAGUACCGUCUCAAGGGUUCGAAUCCCUUGCUCUCCGCCA
rnacentral:tRNA from 1 species